rnacentral:rRNA from 2 species
AUGCAGUCGAACGCACUCUCGUUUAGAUUGAAGGAGCUUGCUCCUGAUUGAUAAACAUUUGAGUGAGUGGCGGACGGGUGAGUAACACGUGGGUAACCUGCCCUAAAGUGGGGGAUAACAUUUGGAAACAGAUGCUAAUACCGCAUAAAACCUAACACCGCAUGGUGUAGGGUUGAAAGAUGGUUUCGGCUAUCACUUUAGGAUGGACCCGCGGUGCAUUAGUUAGUUGGUGAGGUAAAGGCUCACCAAGACCGUGAUGCAUAGCCGACCUGAGAGGGUAAUCGGCCACACUGGGACUGAGACACGGCCCAGACUCCUACGGGAGGCAGCAGUAGGGAAUCUUCCACAAUGGACGAAAGUCUGAUGGAGCAACGCCGCGUGAGUGAAGAAGGUUUUCGGAUCGUAAAACUCUGUUGUUGGAGAAGAAUGUAUCUGAUAGUAACUGAUCAGGUAGUGACGGUAUCCAACCAGAAAGCCACGGCUAACUACGUGCCAGCAGCCGCGGUAAUACGUAGGUGGCAAGCGUUGUCCGGAUUUAUUGGGCGUAAAGCGAGCGCAGGCGGUUUCUUAAGUCUGAUGUGAAAGCCUUCGGCUCAACCGAAGAAGUGCAUCGGAAACUGGGAAACUUGAGUGCAGAAGAGGACAGUGGAACUCCAUGUGUAGCGGUGAAAUGCGUAGAUAUAUGGAAGAACACCAGUGGCGAAGGCGGCUGUCUGGUCUGUAACUGACGCUGAGGCUCGAAAGCAUGGGUAGCAAACAGGAUUAGAUACCCUGGUAGUCCAUGCCGUAAACGAUGAGUGCUAGGUGUUGGAGGGUUUCCGCCCUUCAGUGCCGCAGCUAACGCAUUAAGCACUCCGCCUGGGGAGUACGACCGCAAGGUUGAAACUCAAAGGAAUUGAC